rnacentral:lncRNA from 1 species
CAGCUGGCUACAAUGCCUGAAGCCUUAGGGUGCCAGCUGCCUAGAGCCCUUCUGGGUGUUGUUCAUAAGCUAAGCCAUCCCGCACCAAAAUUAUAUAAGUAGAGGUGUAUGUUCUAUUAUUAUAAUAGAGAAAAUAAUACAUCCUGUCACUCAGACCAAUGUUUUACCUGUUUGAGUAAGUACAUAAUGUUGUCUUAUUCUUACUAAUAGUCCCCAACCCACACAACAAUAGCAUAUUUAUUGAGCCUUUUGUUUUACUACUCAUUAUCAGAUCCUACAGUUUGAUAUAACCUGACUUUUUUGCUUUUUUUGCUGCCAUAUCAUAUUUUUAAAAGCAUGGGGGGGCAGCCAUAUUCAAUGCAUUCCUUAAAUUAGGACUCUUGUCUACUGUUAUUACAAAUUACUAGUUUAAGGAAUGUCAGAAAGACCUUUUAAACAGUGUGUGGAUUAUUGUUUUUGGUUUUUUACUACAAUAUGUAUUUCUUUGUAUUUAUAUUGCAAACCGCCCUGUGAUCCUCAGAUGAAGGGCAUUAUAGAGAUGAUGAUGAUGAUGAUGAUGAUGAUGAUACAGCACAUCUAACAUUUAUUUCUUCCUUAAAGAGAACAGGGCAGCAUGUUCCUGUUGCUGUUAAUCAUCAUUUUGCCCUGUCAGCCCUUAGAGGCAUACUGUGACAGAAUGGAUUUGAGAUGCACCCAUGCAUGCGCACACACACACACACACACACACACACACAUACCUCAAGCACACAGAAUAAGAACACACACAUAGGAGAUACGUACAUCAAGCCAUAAAUGUGACUGAGACUGGUUCUUUUUAAAGGAAUCUGCUUCCUGUUAAUUUGCAUGGCAAUCUUACAAAGAAAAAUAUCAUUAUCAUUUUUAUCUGACACAGUCAAAGGGAUUAACUUUCCUUUAAUUAAGGAAAUAAAUUUGUAAUGUGUUUUCCUGUAAAAGGCAGGCCUUUUUCUUAAUGUUAACGGAAUGGGUGCAGACUUUAAGAGUAGUCUGUGGUAUCAGCCGUUUAUGAGAAAAAUAAAAUGAAAGGCACCUUAUUCAAAAGCUUUGUCCAAAUGUUGUUUCUGAUUAUCAGAUAAGAGAGAUUUUGCAAAUUUUAAAAGAAUCCUGGCUUGAUAUGUUCCCUUGAACAAACUGACCAGGAUUGUCCAUUAUGGAACUAGGUAUGUCAGCAAUCUUGAAGCUGGUUGCUAAAACAAAACACUGGGUGUGGUGUCAUUGCAUUCUGAGCCCCCACCCCAGCCCACCCUGCAAGGGUCAGUCAGUGGAGUGGAGUGGAAGCAGAAGAUGGAGCAUGAUGGCAUGAUUAUAUCAUCUCUAAAGGGAAAAGGAUACGGUAUAUAGGUCUGCUAUUUUCAGCAGCAGCCUGAAAGCAUCUAGUUCUGUUCCCGAGGUGUUCGGUUUGCACCUCUUUCCUUUCCAUUAACGAUUCACCAUGGUCAUGCUAUUGCAAGAAUUACUUAGCUGGAGUAAGUCCCACUGAAGCUGGAUUGCCUUACUUCCAAGUAAACAUUAUGACUGUGCCGUCAGUCAUAGACCUAUAAAACUGGAGUAGACUAGAAGCUGAACCUUUUGUCCCCAAAGUAGAACCCUGCUGCACGUCAGUUCUUUGCAGAUAAAUCCUGACAGCUCUCCAUCACAGAUAGACAGCAAGAAGGUGGGCCGCAUCAAGGAACUUGCUUCACAGAAUCCAAAUGACUCUAUAGAAUGAGUAAUGUUUUAACUUACAAAGCUCAAAGCAGGUAGAAUAGCUGGUUUAUAGGUUAUGUGAAGCUUAAUAUAGAAGCUGAAGUGUCCUUGUGGGUUGAGAGGUCUUUAGGGAUAUUGUAUCAAAUGGUGUACUGUACUGGGCUGCAUUGGACAAUGCAGCAUUGGACCCUGCUGGUGCCAGUUAGUUUUGUUUUUCUAUAUUCAACAAUGCAGAAAUGCAAGGACAUGGGGAAUACAUUGAUUUGUAUAAAGGGGGGAUCUGAAAAAAGAAAAUGUCAGAUUUUAUCUAUCUUAUUCUCACUUGGUGGUAUUUUGCUACUUAAAUAACAUUAAUUUCAAUGGAACUAGCCCAAAGCGAUGUAGCGCUUAACAUGAUUGAUGACACCAGCUUCUUCUACGUGAAACGGAACAAUAUCCAAGUUAAUACAGCAUACUUAACAUGGGCCAUCUAGAAUCACACAAACAUUUCACACCUAAUAUCAUAAUGCUGGUGAAUAAGAAUUAAUAUAAACAAGGCAUCCCGCACUGUACAAAGCAGAAUUUCAGCUUUUCUCUCUCCAGUACUCAUGCAAAAAACAGAACUCUUUCCCUCAAAUUACUGGUCGUAUUUCAGACUGAAAUAUUUUCCAAAUAUGAAAGUAAAGAUGACAGAAAUAAUAGUUGUUUUCUUUAUCUACCAUUUGCAUUAUAACUGAAAGACCAGAAAAGAGCAAAGAGUGAAACAGACUUUUCUUCUUCAGUUAAAUUAAGGUAGCAGCCAAAUAUACACUUACUUGGGAGUAAGGCAUUGAAGUAAAUCAGGCUUAAUUCUGAGUAAAUAUGUAUGCUGGUUGAGCAAUAUUUGUCUCUCAGUGAAAAUCUCAGAAUGUUAAAAUGUUACCGUGUGUGUGUGUGUGAAUAUGUAUACACAUUAUUUAACUCAGAAAAAAGCAAAUAUGAGCGGUGAACAUGAGAGCAGGUGGGAAUGUAACCUUGAAUAUUCAUAUCUCUCUCUCUCUCUCUCUCUCUCUCUCUCUCUCUCUCUUUCUCUCUCUCACUCACACCACCAUCAUCCUUCAAAAGCAACCCCAAAAGGUCUCUGCAAAUAUACCCAACAAACUCUAGAGCAGCCCUGCCUUCUGACCCAUCAAGCCAAAUGAAGCACACUGCCAAUUUUUAUGGCCAACAUGGAGUUUGAUAAAAGCUACCAAGUUAUUUACAAAGAAACGGGGGCAGAUGAUAAAAUAUGUCUUGUGAGCUUUCUGGAUGAUGAAUUCUACAAGCCUGCUCUAUUACUAACUCCACACACCAAUGAAAAACUUAUAUAACAGAUUUAAGCCUCCACCCGCAUCUAAUUUCCUGGCUGAGUGUGGACAGAAGGAUAAAAGAACAGCUAUAAUUAUGACACAGAAAAGGGUGAAUGCUUCGGUUUAGUCCACCC